UACGGAGGGUGCGAGCGUUGUCCGGAAUCACUGGGCGUAAAGGGCGCGUAGGCGGCGCGGUAAGCGUGCGGUGAAAGCCCGGGGCUCAACCCCGGGUCGGCCGUGCGAACUGUCGAGCUGGAGCACUGUAGAGGCAGGUGGAAUUCCGGGUGUAGCGGUGGAAUGCGUAGAGAUCCGGAAGAACACCGGUGGCGAAGGCGGCCUGCUGGGCAGUGGCUGACGCUGAGGCGCGACAGCGUGGGGAGCAAACAGG
rnacentral:rRNA from 1 species